UUGCUGUCAUAGAAUAGUACAUAUUGACGUCAAACGUGCGUUUUGGUUUUUUAGUUUUGGUGUAAUUGAAAGUUUUAACUGACAAAUUCGAAAAAUAAAUAUAGAAACAUGAAUAAAACUAUCCGGAGCAGUAGCAGGAAGGUAAUUCAUAGAGUGUUCUUGCAUUGUUUGGCAGAACAAGAAGCUGGAGAAAUGCACAAUUGAUAAUGUUUAUAGACGAACAGCCGAAAUGACAAGUGUUAGCAUAAAUACUGUCCGAAAUAUGGAAAAAGAAGGUGUUAGAAAUAAGGGCGUAUUUUCUACACCAGGGAAACACCGAAAAGGUCGUCCAAGGUUUUGUAUAAUUUUGAUUGGUCGGCCAUAAGACAAAAGGUCCAUUUUUUCUACGUGGUGAAAAAGCAGGUGCCCACUCUUCGUAAUCUGCUACCUAUUAUUAAGCAGACAAGUAUUACUUUCACUAGGUUUUAAAUAUAAGAAAUGUCAGUCUGACAGGUCAGCCCUAAUAGAAAAAACUGACAAGAGACUCUCAAGAGAGAAAAAUAUCUCAAAAUUAUUAUGGACAACAGAUAUUUGCCAGAGGAACUGAGAAAAAAUAUUAUAUAUUUAGAUGAGAGCUAUGUCCAUGACUCAUAUAAACUUAAAAAAUGCUGGCAGUCAAUGGAUGUUAGUGGAGUAAAAGAAAAUGUGAGCAAAGGCAAGCGGUACAUUAUUGUACUGCUGGCAGUGAGAAGGGAUUUGUUCCGAAUGCCUUAUUGAUUUUCAGCAGGAAUAAUCAGAAUGAGGACUACCACUCUGAAAUGAACCAGUCCAAUUUCACGAAAUGGGUUAAAGAUAAAUUAAUCCUAAACCUCACUGAGGCAAGUAUUAUAGUCAUGGACAAUGCGCCCUACCACUCAGUGAUAUUAUAUAUAAUAAGGCACCAACAAGCGCAACAAAAGUUGCAGAAAUAAAAGUAUGGCUUGAAGACAAUGGCGUGCCGUUUGAAGAUUCAUUGCGCAAGCCGGAGCUUUUAACAUUAAUAAAACGCCAUAAACCGGCGCGUCUAUAUGAAAUAGAUGAGAUUUUAGGAGAACAUGGUCAUACAGUGGUAUGACUUCCACCUUACCAUUGCGAUUUAAACCCAAUUGAAUUAAUUUGGAUGAUCGCGAAGCAUAAAAUCGCAUCAAAUAAUGUGUGCUCAAGUGAUAUAAAGAUGGCAGCUCAGCAAGAAUUUGAAAGUAUCACAGUUGAAAAUUGGGCAAAUUCAUGCAGACAUGUGAUGAUGAUGAAUUGAGUAUUUUUAGAGAGGCAGAUCUUUGUACACCGAUAUAGAACAAUUAGUCAUUGAUGUCAAUGAUGACAGCAGCAGUGACGAGACAUCAGAAUCCUCUUAUUCUCAUAUAGCAGGAACGUCAACCCAAGAACCUGUCUUCUCAGGUGUAGAAUUUCUGGAUGAACAAUUUGAUUCUGAUUAAAUAAAAUCACUGAUAAUUAA